GUUCGAGUGGUGAAAUUGGUAUACACGACGGUUGCUUUCGAUCGUGGCGGCUCAAGUCCGUCCUCGGGCACCA
rnacentral:tRNA from 1 species